rnacentral:rRNA from 1 species
UACGAAGGGGGCUAGCGUUGCUCGGAAUCACUGGGCGUAAAGGGUGCGUAGGCGGGGUUUUAAGUCAGAGGUGAAAUCCUGGAGCUCAACUCCAGAACUGCCUUUGAUACUGAAAGUCUUGAGUAUGGGAGAGGUGAGUGGAACUGCGAGUGUAGAAGUGAAAUUCGUAGAUAUUCGCAAGAACACCAGUGGCGAAGGCGGCUCACUGGCCCAUAACUGACGCUGAGGCACGAAAGCGUGGGGAGCAAACAGG